UUGGUGGUAAUAUAAAAAUUAUAUACCAUUUACAAUGGUAAAGUGCCUUAGUGCCUACCAAU
rnacentral:tRNA from 1 species